AAGUUCUGUGACAGGAGUGUUUGGGUUCAAUCCUCCUGCAAUUCUUUUCAGUUGCAACUCUUAACAAGAUGGAAGAAUACGCCCCUCCCACAACCAAAAUUCCUUUUCAAAGCGAUAAGGAAUACCAUGUGUUUCUGAGUUUCAGGGGAGAAGAUGUGAGAAAGAAUCUGGUGGAUCAUCUCUAUCAAGCUCUCACUGCUGCCGGACUCCAUGUUUACAAGGACGACGACAAAUUGGAAAAGGGAGAUCUGAUUUGGCCGAGCUUGGAAAGAGCAAUUGAGAGCAGCGCUGUACUCAUCCCUGUAUUUUCGAGAGGCUAUGCUGAGUCUACAUGGUGUCUCAAUGAGGCGGCCACAAUGGUGAAGACCAAGGGUUUCAUCAUUCCUCUCUUUUAUUGCGUGGGUCCAACUCACGUUAGAUAUCCUCUAGGCAACUCCAGUCCGUAGAAGCAAGUAUUUGUAAAACAUUAUAGCCAUUCCGAUCAAAUCCAAAGAGAAGAGAUUGAGUGGUGGAAGUAUGGUCUUCAACAGAUUUGUCCAUGCCUAAAACUUUAUGGGCAUUCAGUUCGAUACCCAAGAGAAGAGAUCGACGGAUGGAAGGAUGCCCUUGAAAAGAUCUGUUCGCGCUCCGGGUGGUCCAUGGAUUUGACUGGAGGAUGAAGUUUGCUUGGAUGAAUAUAGCAGGAACCGGAUAGUAAUUUUUCAAGGGUCUUUGGAGCAAGCCGUUCCACAAGAAUUUCAACAGUAUAUUGAAAAUCUUUAUGGUUAAGAAACCAGUGAAGCGUCUGAGGUCCUCUUCGAGAAAUUAACUCCCUUGCUGUAAACAGUGAUGAGUUUGACAAGAUUAUUUCUAGCUAUCAAGUAUUCUACAGAUGAACACUACUCCAAAGAAAACAUUUAAAGUGCUGUACAGAAAUCUUGCAUCAAUUAUCUUCGGGAAACCCUUGUAGAUUCAAAUCUGUAGGUUGAGAUGGCUGAAUUGCAUGCAUUGAGAACAAUUCUGCAAAGAGAUGUUGUCCAGAAGUUGCACGCAAGCUUUACUUCUCAUGUUUUCUCUCUAAUUCAAAAUUUAACACAGACACUUUAUCAGAAGCCAGUGUGAAUCCCAAAAAGACGUGCUGAACUUGCUUUUACAAAGCAAAAUUAUAUCUGCCUCGGUAGAAACUGAAGAAAAUUCACAGCCUCAAGAUCAUGUGUACUAAGCAUUGCCUUGGUGGCCGCAGACUGCAUCUGAUAGUUGUUCUUCAGUUGCUCAAGAGAUGCCUUCACAGUUGGACUCUAUCAUGUCCAACUCCCAUAUGGUCAAAAACAGUCUGGAGAAAUGUAAAAGAUGAUAAUUGGGACAGUUCUCAGUGUUUUCCAGUCUCCAUCACAGUAGAUUCUGAAUGUACGUAUUGGCAUGAAUCGAUUUCGGAAGAUUCUUCCAAACAGGGAAUUGAUUUCCCAACUAAAGAUCGUUGAAUUCUAAUCAUUUCUAGAUCUCAAUUGCUUAUAGAUUCAACUAUAACAGGGGAAAUCCUAUAAGAUAGACAUGUAAACUCACUUUCUGUAGCUUUUGAAGAACAUAUCACUGAGCAGACAGAGAAUCUUCAAGAAGAUGAAAUUAAAUAAAUCAAGUGAAAAUAGCAGUCACAAGGAUGACAGAGUUGCUCGAUGGAGGAUCUUUCUUCAUUCCAUUCCUAACGGUGAGAUAGCUGAUGACCUACACAUCAACUCCAAAGGCCAGUCCAUACGAGCAAACAGAAGCAAAACCUCAAAAAUCAAAUUUUAGAAGCCCUGUUGUGGAACUCCACAUAUUUGUCAAAGCCUUGGUCAUUCAAAAAUUUGUUUUGUAAUUCUUAAUUAGAGUCAAAGCCCUGUUGUGAAACUCCACAUAUUUGUCAUUGAUAAUUAAUAUCAUUGUGUAAAUUGUAUA